GAAAGCGUGGGGAGCGAACAGGAUUAGAUACCCUGGUAGUCCACGCCGUAAACGAUGGAUACUAGCUGUCCGGUACCUUGAGUACUGGGCGGCCAAGCGAUAGUGAUAAGUAUCCCACCUGGGGAGUACGUCCGCAAGGAUGAAACUCAAAGGAAUUGACGGGGGCCCGCACAAGCGGUGGAGCAUGUGGUUUAAUUCGAUGAUACGCGAGGAACCUUACCAGGGCUUAAAUGUAGUAUGACAGGUUUAGAGAUAGACUUUCCUUCGGGCAUAUUGCAAGGUGCUGCAUGGUUGUCGUCAGCUCGUGCCGUGAGGUGUCAGGUUAAGUCCUAUAACGAGCGCAACCCCUGUUGUUAGUUACCAGCGAGUGAAGUCGGGGACUCUAGCAAGACUGCCGGUGCAAACCGCGAGGAAGGUGGGGACGACGUCAAAUCAUCACGGCCCUUACGCCCUGGGCCACACACGUGCUACAAUGGCCGGCACAGAGAGCAGCCAUGCCGCAAGGCAGAGCGAAUCUACAAAACCGGUCACAGUUCGGAUCGGGGUCUGCAACUCGACCCCGUGAAGCUGGAAUCGCUAGUAAUCGGAUAUCAGCCAUGAUCCGGUGAAUACGUUCCCGGGCCUUGUACACACCGCCCGUCAAGCCAUGGAAGCCGGGAGUGCCUGAAGUCCGUCACCGCAAGGAGCGGCCUAGGGCAAGAUCGGUAACU
rnacentral:rRNA from 1 species